UGCUAAUUAACAUCUAGGUCACUUUCAUCAUUCCUAACAUGGAUAUAAAGCCACUUCUGCAAGAGCUAUUGUAAAUACGAAAUACAAAGCCCUGAGGUACAGCAUGCCUGGCAUGUCGAGAAACAGACGAAGACUAAUGUGGCUGGAGCACAAACAGGAAUUCAGAGAGGCUUACAAAAGAAAAGCCCAGGCUCAUAUUUCCACCCCCACUGCAUGGCAUGAGGAAGAAUGGAGACCCUGUAGAAUGGCCAGGGGCAUGAUGACUCGAGGAGAAAAUACACAGGAGCCUGUUUUCCAGCAGGUUACGUGAAAGGGUAAGGACGAAGGGUUUCCCUCCACCCCCCACUCCCCAUCACUCCUCAGCUGUAGGCAGAGCGACUGAGACCUGAAGCUAUUCCCAAACAUCUGAAAACCAUUUAUAAAAAACUGAGGUUACUACAAAUAAAGACACU